CCUCUCCUCGCUUGCAGCCGCCUCCUUUACACCUCCGCCCGAGCUCCACCUUCCUCGCCGACCUCCCUCCUCCUGCCUCCUCCCUCCCAUGCCUCUCCCUCCUCCUGCCUCCUCUCUCCCCUUUCCUGUCCAUCCCCACAACCUCUCCCACUUCUUCCAUCCCCCCUCCCCGUGUCACCACUCACCAUGGCCUCCGCCCUGGAGCCUCGCCGACGCAUGCUAUUCCUCCUCCCUUGUCUCUAUUCGGCGCUGAUGAUCGGCUCACCCCACAGCUUUUUCCCCACCCACGACCUAGCGUUGGGGAGGCCGGGUUUUCUUGUUGGGGGUGAAGGAGAUGGGGACGGCCAAGAGGCCAGCGGUGGGGAGAAGCCAGGCCGGCCUGCCGUCUUUCCCCGGAUCUGGUCAGCAGCCGAGUUGGCUGGCUGGGAUGAGAAGAUUGUCCUCCUUGUGGCGCUCGUCAUCGAGGACAGCCUGGUCUGCAAAUCGCGGCCCUCCUGCGUUGGGCUACACGACGUGGCUUACUGAAGAGCGCUGACCAACAGCAGUGUGGUAUUUGCAGGUGCUGAUCUUGGGUUUACCACUUGUGGCUUUGGUUUGACAGGGUGCUAGCAGCUGCAGUUCUGUUCAUUUGGAGGACACAUAUGACAAACUAUGACAUCACAGUAUUUUUUUCCUUCAGAUGCUUCAUCUUUGUUUUUUCUGUGUGUAUGCAUGCCAUGGUUUGCACAUCCUUUGCUCAUUGGCAUGUCUAUACACAUGCUUGUUGUUCUUCUAGAGAACUGAGUUGGUGAUGUUUAUUAUUGUUAGCUAUUUAGAGUGAUUGUUCCCAAUUAACUUUGAUCAAUUAAUUAUUAGCAGGUAUUUAUCGAAUGACCUUAUGCAAAUUCCCGGCCAGUUGAUUCCUUUUUUAGCCAAGGCCAUCUUUAUAUCACAUAUCUCUGCUGCUGGUGAAAGUGACUCAACUGAAAGUGGCAUGUGAUUCUCCCCUGGAGCCCAACGGCCCUCUAUAUGGAUUAUCUGAAAGUUGAAGAGUAUGCUUAUGCAUCAGAUUUUCUCCUCUUAGUUAUGCAAUUCAGGCCUGUAUUUAUUUUUCAAUAUCACUAUGAGUAUCAUGAUAGAGAGUUAAUAGUUCACUCACUGCACAAAAUAUUUAGUUGGCAUAUUGAGGGGCUCACACCCUUUUAUGGAUGAACUUAUACCAUGAAUUAAACAGAUAGCAUGACCAUAUGAUUAUAGAGAGAAAAAACCAUAGCUUGUGUUGUUUGGCAGGUUAUUAGUGACUUUUAAACAUAGUCAUGCAAUAGAACUUUAGGAUUCAUAAUUAUUCUACAUAUGAUUGUUGAAACCAGUACUUUUGUAAGACCGAUGGUGAUGUAUGCUCCUUGCUGGUUUAGGUUGGUUGUUUGGAACAUUGUUGAUUGUAUGGUGGCUACAAAAGUGAAUCUUCAAGCUGGCUGCAAUAGAAGCUGAUAUAGAAUUGAAGCUUCAUCAAAUCUAUCAGGGCGUUCAUUGCGUAAUACAGUGUUGAGAAUGAGAACAUUUUCAGAGGGGAACUUAAGGUAUCACCUAAUGAUAUAAUAUUAGUCACUAUCCGUUGAUUGGUAAAUUUUGCUUUAGUAUACACCCCUUCGGGAUAUGGCUUUCAAUUCUAUACUUUUCUUUGAUUAUCAGUAUUGCUAUAAGGAUAAUAAUCAUUUUUAUUGCAAAGUACGUACUACAUUAGAGAAGUCAACAUGUUUUCCCAUAGAAAUACAUGUGGCGCGAAAGCAGCGACAGUCAUGUUUGAAAGCGUGUAAUAUAAGAGUAUGUAUCUUAGUUAUUUUGGCAUCGCCAUCCUUUACAUUAUAGGUUGUUUUGCACAACUAACAAUGAGGUCUACAUAUAUAUAUUUGCAAUUUAAAUUCACCACACCUUUGAAACCCGUAGUUGUUUACUAUUCUCUUAAAUAUUUAAACUUUGUGCUUCAUUCCUUUAAUUUAAGAACUAGGAGGGUGCAGAUAAGUAAGAGUUCUUGGCAGCAGCAACCUACACAUGUGGAAACAGUGGCUAUGGCGGUUCAAACGGAAGUGGCAGCUAGACAGCAACUCACAGCUUAGUGGCGGCUCAAAGGACAUAUAAUCUAUUUCUUCUUGGAGCUAUCUACUAUCAUAUUAUGACUCGGUGCUAGCUGAAGCUUCUAUUUUCUCGCCUUUUGUGGUGGUGAUUAAUCCUUGGACUGUAGUAAUUCCAUUUGAUAUUCCUCAUGUUGCAACCUUUUCCCGUAGAAUCGAAAGGAAUUAGAUGGAAGAAAUUGCAGGAGGAAUGGUAUUCUCGGCUGACAUUCAAAAGCAGCCAAGAUGGUGAAGUUUAGGACGGAGGAGCUCUGUGAAAUUAUGGUUAAAAAAUAUCCAUAACAUGUCUGUCAUUGCUCAUGUCGACCACGGUUUGUGACGGAGUAGUGACAGUUGUCUCUAAUUGUCAAGUUUAUACGGUAGAAUCUUCUUGAUUGAUGAUUUUGAAGCCUUCUCUUAGUUGUACUAUAUUAAUUCUUAAAACUGGAUCAUUUAAAAUUAGUUAGAUUUAAUGAGUUGUUUCACUGUUUUCAAAUAAGUAGUUUAAGCCCUUAUUGUGUCCCAGAGCUUAUUCUUUCUACCUUUUUAUGAUUGAUAUAUGCUCUAACAAGAUUAAAUUUAACUAUUGGCAUAUAAUCUCAUGGCUCAAAAUCUUAGUUGUUGAAUGCAUUAAAAUUUAUAAGAUCUAGAGUUUGCACUAUAUUUCAUCCUGUGGUAUUCCCAGUAACUGAAUAUUAAGAGCACCGACGAUCCCAGGUUGUACAUUCGUGAAAUGCUUUUAUCUUGCAGGCCAGUUUUACAUUUACUUCUUCAAUAAGGAGAUGACCAUGAAUAGAGUAUCAUGGUAUUUGCCUUGGCAUUACUGACGUUGUGUUCAGAUUACUGAAAGAAGGAUUGGUAGCCGCAAAGGAGUGAAGGGUAGAAAAUAUGUCCAUUGUCGUUGAAUUGGUUGGAUUGUCCCCAAGUUAGUGUUGCAGAUGUUUCUAUUUUAGAGCAAGAAGCCAAAUCAUGCUAUUCAUUGUAAAUCUUGAAAAACUUGUUUAUUGGCACUUCUAUAUCUGUUGUAAACGUUUGUUCGUGAUGUGGUACUUGUCAAUCUUUGUUUGCCCUUCCUUUUCAAGUUUGCCUUAAAUUUCAGCAGACCAACAA